rnacentral:rRNA from 1 species
GGACGAACGCUGGCGGCGUGCCUAAUACAUGCAAGUCGAACGAGCUCUCCCAAAUUGAUUUUAUGCUUGCAUAAAUGAUUUUUGGAUUCGGAGCGAGUGGCGAACUGGUGAGUAACACGUGGGUAACCUGCCCCGAAGCGGGGGAUAACAUUUGGAAACAAGUGCUAAUACCGCAUAAUUAGUUGGAACCGCAUGGUUCCAACUUGAAAGAUGGCUCUGCUAUCACUUUGGGAUGGACCCGCGCCGUAUUAGUUAGUUGGUGAGAUAAAAGCCCACCAAGACGAUGAUACGUAGCCGACCUGAGAGGGUAAUCGGCCACAUUGGGACUGAGACACGGCCCAGACUCCUACGGGAGGCAGCAGUAGGGAAUCUUCCACAAUGGACGAAAGUCUGAUGGAGCAACGCCGCGUGAGUGAUGAAGGUUUUCGGAUCGUAAAACUCUGUUGUUAAAGAAGAACAAGUGUUAGAGUAACUGUUAACACUUUGACGGUAUUUAACCAGAAAGCCACGGCUAACUACGUGCCAGCAGCCGCGGUAAUACGUAGGUGGCAAGCGUUGUCCGGAUUUAUUGGGCGUAAAGCGAGCGCAGGCGGUUUUGUAAGUCUGCUGUGAAAGCCCUCAGCUCAACUGAGGAAGUGCAGUGGAAACUACAAAACUUGAGUACAGAAGAGGAAAGUGGAACUCCAUGUGUAGCGGUGAAAUGCGUAGAUAUAUGGAAGAACACCAGUGGCGAAGGGCGGCUUUCUGGUCUGUUACUGACGCUGAGGCUCGAAAGCAUGGGUAGCGAACAGGAUUAGAUACCCUGGUAGUCCAUGCCGUAAACGAUGAAUACUAGGUGUUGGAGGGUUUCCGCCCUUCAGUGCCGCAGCUAACGCAUUAAGUAUUCCGCCUGGGGAGUACGACCGCAAGGUUGAAACUCAAAGGAAUUGACGGGGGCCCGCACAAGUGGUGGAGCAUGUGGUUUAAUUCGAUGCUACGCGAAGAACCUUACCAGCUCUUGACAUCUUCUGCCAACCCAAGAGAUUGGGCGUUCCCUUCGGGGACAGAAUGACAGGUGGUGCAUGGUUGUCGUCAGCUCGUGUCGUGAGAUGUUGGGUUAAGUCCCGCAACGAGCGCAACCCUUAUUAUUAGUUGCCAGCAUUUAGUUGGGCACUCUAGUGAGACUGCCGGUGAUAAACCGGAGGAAGGUGGGGACGACGUCAAAUCAUCAUGCCCCUUAUGAGCUGGGCUACACACGUGCUACAAUGGAUGGUACAACGAGUUGCGAAACCGCGAGGUCAAGCUAAUCUCUUAAAGCCAUUCUCAGUUCGGAUUGCAGGCUGCAACUCGCCUGCAUGAAGUUGGAAUCACUAGUAAUCGUGGAUCAGCAUGCCACGGUGAAUACGUUCCCGGGCCUUGUACUCACCG